CCAGGCCAUUCUAUGAUUCUAUGAUCCCAGAAUAAAGAGGUAAUGAGGGGUUAAUCCUUUCAACAUCAGCUGACCAGAAGAUCCAAACUAGUUGAUCUUUGCAGUCACAGAGGAGUAAUGGGUGCCUCCAGGGCAAUACUCAACCCCUCCCAAAGCUGCUCUGUAAGGGAGCAUGUUGAAUGGCCUUCAGGAGGCAUCUCUUGUUCAUACAGUUGAUUAUUAAGGUAGCCAAGGCAAUGGGCUCACUCCGUUCACCUGGCUUGUACAUGGUGAGCAUUAAGGGAUAAAUCACUUUUGGGCUAGCUUCCAGUGAAGUCAAGUUAUUUGCAGAAUUUUUCCUCUUCUGUCAGCAAGAGUAGUAUUGGGAACAAGGCCAGAAGUGGGCACUGCACCACAUGGCUCUGAAUGGUCUUAGUGGGGUUAGUGAUGCCACUUGCAGCUUAACUCAAACAUGUGUACAUUCCCAUGGGCUUUGUGUCUACACUGAGAAAAGCUGAGCGCUGAUCCAUGUCACAAUUACAGGGGAGUAAGGCAUUUACAGAGAAAGACAAAGAAAAAAAGUGGUUUGGAAUUUUUUUGAAAAAUAUUGGGAAAAAGGGUAGGCUGGAAAAAUCUAUUUUGUUGAGCCUGAAGGUUUUCUCAGAAAAGAACUGAUUUUUGCAAGCUUAGAAUUAUAGAAAAAGGAAAUGAAAGUGGAGAGGUCCAGAAGUACAAGUACAGCCCACUUGGAGAUGUCUGUUUUGUUAAGGAUUUGUCUGUGGUUGUUUUGUGGGUUUUUUUUGUAAGCAGAAAUUUUUAAUUUUGACUUUUAAAGUAAUUUAUGAUGAAAGGAAAGAAUGAAAAGGGAAAAUAACGUGUAAAAUAAGAAUGUUCAGCUAACUGAUGAAUAUUAAUUCCUGGAACCAUUAAAAUACUGUUGAUUUUUUUUUACCCUAACUAUUUUUGGAGUAGAAACCCCAUGACUUUAUUUAGACUUCUGUGAAUGAAAGCAAACAUAGGGCCUCCAUCUCAGUGAAUAACCAGAAAAAAUGGGAGCAGAACUAUAUCUACAGCUUAAAGCAAGUAAAGAGUUGGAAUUAUAGCUAUUCUGGUCAAUAUUUUUGAGAUUUUGAUAGAUACAUAUACAUACCUUUGUAUGUAUUCAGUCCCAACUUCAGUGAAAAAACAGCUUGUAUUUUUUUUUACAGAAAAUAAAAUAAAGAUACUUUGCAUCAU
ensembl:lncRNA